CAACGUGCUCCGGGGUCGGUGAGAAUCCGAACCGGCGGUGACAGUCCGCGAGCUGCGGCGCUUCGGCGGUGCGGCUGAUCCGGUGAAAUUCCGGAACCGACGGUGAUGCGUGGGAAACCACGCGAGUCCGGAUGAGAGGCAGCACGCGU
rnacentral:ncRNA from 1 species